AAUGAGAGAGAAUAUGUGGAGUUUACAGGGUCACACCGACAGACGAAAUUACUGACAUUCGGUGAAUUCAUUGGAGCUGGGCAGUGAGGGACAUUGACAGUGAUGGGAUCUACGAUCAGUGAAUUACUGAAGGGUUUAACGUUCCCUGAAAUAUCCGGGUGAGAGAAAUGCCCUCAGACGGACGAUUUUAAUCACAAUGUUCAUCAAUUUGUCUGUUUGUGUUUAGCCUGAGUUAUAAUGAACUGGGUGAUUCAGGAGUGAAACUGGUGUCUGCGGCUCUGAGGAACCCGGAGUGUAAAAUACAGACACUGUGGCUGAUCCGUGUCGGUCUCACAGAUUCUGGUGCCGAGGAUCUCGUCUCCGCUCUCAGUACAAACCCAUCACUGAAGGUGCUGAACCUGAGUCGUAAUAAACUGGGGGAUUCAGGAGUGAAACUGGUGUCUGCGGCUCUGAGGAACCCGGAGUGUAAAAUACAGAGACUGGGGCUGUGGGAUGUCGGUCUCACAGAUUCUGGUGCCGAGGAUCUCGUCUCCGCUCUCAGUACAAACCCAUCACUGACGGAUCUGGACCUGACAUCAAACUCUCUGACAGACCGAUCUGUCCCCGCUCUCCGCCGCCUCAUACUGACCCUCCCGAGUCUGGAGUGGAUCCGGCUGGGGGGGAAUCGGUUCAGUGAGACCGGGAUGAAGGAACUGAGAUCUCUACAGGGAGUCAGACCCGGACUGAUGGUGGAUCUGUGAACAUCUGAAUGUGGGGAAUCGGUUCAGUGAGACCGGGGGGAAGGAACUGAGAUCUCUACAGGAACCCAGACUCGGACUGAGAGUGGAUCUGUGAACAUCUGAAUGUGGGGAAUCGGUUCAGUGGGACCGGGAUGAAGGAACUGAGAUCUCUACAGGAACCCAGACCCGGACUGAUGGUGGAUCUGUGAACAUCUGAAUGUGGUGAAUCGGUUCAGUGAGACCGGGAUGAAGGAACUGAGAUCUCUACAGGAACCCAGACCCGGACUGAUGGUGGAUCUGUGAACAUCUGAAUGUGGUGAAUCGGUUCAGUGAGACCGGGAUGAAGGAACUGAGAUCUCUACAGGAACCCAGACCCGGACUGAUGGUGGAUCUGUGAACAUCUGAAUGUGGUGAAUCGGUUCAGUGAGACCGGGAUGAAGGAACUGAGAUCUCUACAGGAACCCAGACCCGGACUGAUGGUGGAUCUGUGAACAUCUGAAUGUGGUGAAUCGGUUCAGUGAGACCGGGAUGAAGGAACUGAGAUCUCUACAGGAACCCAGACCCGGACUGAUGGUGGAUCUGUGAACAUCUGAAUGUGGGGAAUCGGUUCAGUGAGACCGGGAUGAAGGAACUGAGAUCUCUACAGGAACCCAGACCCGGACUGAUGGUGGAUCUGUGAACAUCUGAAUGUGGUGAAUCGGUUCAGUGAGACCGGGAUGAAGGAACUGAGAUCUCUACAGGAACCCAGACCCGGACUGAGAGUGGAUCUGUGAACAUCUGAAUGUGGGGAAUCGGUUCAGUGAGACCGGGAUGAAGGAACUGAGAUCUCUACAGGAACCCAGACCCGGACUGAUGGUGGAUCUGUGAACAUCUGAAUGUGGGGAAUCGGUUCAGUGAGACCGGGAUGAAGGAACUGAGAUCUCUACAGGAACCCAGACCCGGACUGAUGGUGGAUCUGUGAACAUCUGAAUGUGGGGAAUCGGUUCAGUGAGACCGGGAUGAAGGAACUGAGAUCUCUACAGGGAGUCAGACCCGGACUGAUGGUGGAUCUGUGAACAUCUGAAUGUGGUGAAUCGGUUCAGUGAGACCGGGAUGAAGGAACUGAGAUCUCUUCAGGAACCCAGACCCAGACUGAUGGUGGAUCUGUGAACAUCUGAAUGUGGUGAAUCUGUUCAGUGAGACCGGGAUGAAGGAACUGAGAUCUCUUCAGGAACCCAGACCCAGACUGAUGGUGGAUCUGUGAACAUCUGAAUGUGGUGAAUCGGUUCAGUGAGACCGGGAUGAAGGAACUGAGAUCUCUACAGGAACCCAGACCCGGACUGAGAGUGGAUCUGUGAACAUCUGAAUGUGGUGAAUCGGUUCAGUGAGACCGGGAUGAAGGAACUGAGAUCUCUACAGGAACCCAGACCCGGACUGAUGGUGGAUCUGUGAACAUCUGAAUGUGGGGAAUCGGUUCAGUGGGACCGGGAUGAAGGAACUGAGAUCUCUACAGGAACCCAGACCCGGACUGAGAGUGGAUCUGUGAA